GUGGGGAAUUUUGGACAAUGGGCGCAAGCCUGAUCCAGCAAUGCCGCGUGCAGGAAGAAGGCCUUCGGGUUGUAAACUGCUUUUGUACGGAACGAAACGGUCCGGGUUAAUACCCUGGGCUAAUGACGGUACCGUAAGAAUAAGCACCGGCUAACUACGUGCCAGCAGCCGCGGUAAUACGUAGGGUGCAAGCGUUAAUCGGAAUUACUGGGCGUAAAGCGUGCGCAGGCGGUUUUGUAAGACAGGCGUGAAAUCCCCGGGCUCAACCUGGGAAUUGCGCUUGUGACUGCAAGGCUGGAGUGCGGCAGAGGGGGAUGGAAUUCCGCGUGUAGCAGUGAAAUGCGUAGAUAUGCGGAGGAACACCGAUGGCGAAGGCAAUCCCCUGGGCCUGCACUGACGCUCAUGCACGAAAGCGUGGGGAGCAAACAGGAUUAGAAACCCCCAGUAGUCC
rnacentral:rRNA from 1 species